UGGGGAAUAUUGCACAAUGGGCGCAAGCCUGAUGCAGCCAUGCCGCGUGUAUGAAGAAGGCCUUCGGGUUGUAAAGUACUUUCAGUCGGGAGGAAGGUGGUAAGGUUAAUAACCUUAUCAAUUGACGUUACCGACAGAAGAAGCACCGGCUAACUCCGUGCCAGCAGCCGCGGUAAUACGGAGGGUGCAAGCGUUAAUCGGAAUUACUGGGCGUAAAGCGCACGCAGGCGGUUGAUUGAGUCAGAUGUGAAAUCCCCGGGCUUAACCCGGGAAUUGCAUCUGAUACUGGUCAGCUAGAGUCUUGUAGAGGGGGGUAGAAUUCCAUGUGUAGCGAUGAAAUGCGUAGAGAUGUGGAGGAAUACCGGUGGCGAAGGCGGCCCCCUGGACGAAGACUGACGCUCAGGUGCGAAAGCGUGGGGAGCAAACAGG
rnacentral:rRNA from 1 species